rnacentral:rRNA from 1 species
GCUGGCGGCAUGCUUAACACAUGCAAGUCGAACGAAGGCCCGGAGCUUGCUCCGGUUACCUUAGUGGCGAACGGGUGAGUAACGCGUGGGAACCUGCCCUUUGGUGGGGAAUAACAGCUGGAAACGGCUGCUAAUACCGCAUACGCUCUACGGAGGAAAGGCUUCGGCCGCCGUUGGAGGGUCCCGCGUCCGAUUAGCUUGUUGGUGAGGUAAUGGCUCACCAAGGCGACGAUCGGUAGCUGGUCUGAGAGGAUGAUCAGCCACACUGGGACUGAGACACGGCCCAGACUCCUACGGGAGGCAGCAGUGGGGAAUAUUGGACAAUGGGGGAAACCCUGAUCCAGCAAUGCCGCGUGAGUGAAGAAGGCCUUAGGGUUGUAAAACUCUUUCACCCGUGAAGAUGAUGACGGUAGCGGGAGAAGAAGCUCCGGCUAACUCCGUGCCAGCAGCCGCGGUAAUACGGAGGGGGCUAGCGUUGCUCGGAAUUACUGGGCGUAAAGCGCGCGUAGGCGGUGCAUCUAGUCAGGCGUGAAAGCCCCGGGCUUAACCUGGGAACUGCGUUUGAUACUGGUGUACUUGAAUCCGAGAGAGGGCAGUGGAAUUCCCAGUGUAGAGGUGAAAUUCGUAGAUAUUGGGAAGAACACCAGAGGCGAAGGCGGCUGCCUGGCUCGGUAUUGACGCUGAGGUGCGAAAGCGUGGGGAGCGAACAGGAUUAGAUACCCUGGUAGUCCACGCCGUAAACGAUGAGUGCUAGUUGUCGGGCAGCGUGCUGUUCGGUGACGUCGCUAACGCAUUAAGCACUCCGCCU